GCCUCCUUCUUCAUCGAAGACCGCCGAGGAGAGAAGCUGGGCUUCAAAGUCACCAUACUGCUGGCCAUCUCCGUCCUGCUGCUCAUCCUCAAUGACAUCCUGCCCUCCAUGUCCAACAAGACUCCCCUCAUAGCCACCUACUGCGUCGUGAUUUUCGCUCUGAUGCUGCUCAGCCUGCUGGAGACCAUCUUGGUUACAUAUUUCAUGGAGAAAGACUGUGCCUCCAAGAAGAAGAUCAGGCUGAGGGAAAACAGGGAGAACAAGCAGGACACCUUCAUCACAGAGGAGAAAAGACAAAGCGGCUGUCUGAGCAUCUGCAAAGCGUCAGAUGGUGAGAAACAACAUGAAUUGCUGCCGAUGGUUCAAGAGGUUAACAACAGCGUUCAGGCCCGAGAGAGUGACACGUUGCUGCUGAUCAUGGAGGAGCUGAAGGAGUUGCAGAAUAUUUUGAAUCUGCACCUCGUCUGUAGACAGGACGGAGGGAAGUCUGGCCUCUUGGCCGCAAGAAUCAACAGAGCUUUCUUCAUUUUCUACAUCACCAUCGUGUCACUGUUCCUCACCCUCAUCUUCAUCGCAUGGACCACUUAAACCUUUUUAACCAUGUUAAACCUUUAAGUCAACACAUGCCGUAUGAAUUUGAUGUAGAAUCUAGAAGUUGUGCCAUGUUUGGUAUCUACAAUGUCUCAUUGUGAAUCUAUUUAAUUCAGUUUAAAUGAGAUAACUUGAAUUGUAUUUACUCUAUCCUGCAGACUGGUGGCGCCAAAAUCUUUAGUGUUGAUGAAGAAAAGGUCCCUGCAGAGCUGUCUAGGGCAUUGCCUUUUAAUAAGAGUGUAUAAAAUGUGUGGGGAAUAAAUCACAAAAUAAUAAUAAUGUUUGAGUUUUGAAAAAGGCAAAAAGCAAAACAAUGACCGUUUUAAACAUAUUUGUGUGCUGAAAUAAAUAUAUCAAAACCUUGUGUUGUGUUUUUAAAUGGUUAAAGACGCUCAGCAUCCACCGGAGGGUUUAAAAUUAGCAUUUAAAUAGUUUUCAGAAGCUGAU
ensembl:lncRNA